rnacentral:rRNA from 1 species
GAAGCGCACACGGUGGAUGCCUAGGCAGCCAGAGGCGAUGAAAGACGUGGAAGCCUGCGAUAAGGCUCGGCGAGGUGGCAAACAACCUGUGACCCGGGCAUUUCUGAAUGGGGAAACCCACUCAUCAUAAGAUGAGUAUCUUACGCUGAAUAUAUAGGCGUAAGAGGCGAACCAGGGGAACUGAAACAUCUAAGUACCCUGAGGAAAAGAAAUCAACCGAGAUUCCCCUAGUAGCGGCGAGCGAACGGGGACCAGCCCUUAAGCAUGUGACUGAUUAGGCGAAUGCGCUGGGAAGCGCGGCCAUAGUGGGUGAUAGCCCCGUAGUCGAAAAUCUGAUCAUGUGAAAUCGAGUAGGUCGGGGCACGAGAAACCUUGACUGAAGACGGGGGGACCAUCCUCCAAGGCUAAAUACUCCUGGCUGACCGAUAGUGAACCAGUACCGUGAGGGAAAGGCGAAAAGAACCCCGGAGAGGGGAGUGAAAUAGAUCCUGAAACCGUGUGCGUACAAGCAGUAGGAGCAGACUUGUUCUGUGACUGCGUACCUUUUGUAUAAUGGGUCAGCGACUUAUAUUCAGUGGCGAGGUUAACCGUUUAGGGGAGCCGUAGGGAAACCGAGUCUUAACUGGGCGACACAGUCGCUGGAUAUAGACCCGAAACCGAGCGAUCUAUCCAUGAGCAGGGUGAAGGUUGAGUAACAUCAACUGGAGGCCCGAACCAGGAUCUGUUGAAAAAGAUUUGGAUGACUUGUGGAUCGGAGUGAAAGGCUAAUCAAGCUCGGAGAUAGCUGGUUCUCCUCGAAAGCUAUUUAGGUAGCGCCUCACGUAUCACCGCCGGGGGUAGAGCACUGUUUCGGCUAGGGGG